rnacentral:rRNA from 1 species
UGCGGCAGAUGAGGCAUCAAAGUUAUAGGGUCAAGUGAAUAAGAGCACGU